GGUGGAGUCGGAUAGUGGCUAUUCCGAAGCACUCGAAUUAUUACUAGUUCUUGAUGCUUUGCCUUACGGCGCACGCGUUCGAGUCGCGUCUUCACCU